UAUCAUAUUUGUUUUAUUUGCUGUUAUUACACUUUAUACAUUGACAGUCAUGUUGUGCUGUGCUGUUGGUUGUACUAACGGGCCAUCCCAGAGAAGCUCUGUGCAGUUUUUUUUCGUUUUCCUUUAGGUGUGCAGCAUGCAGACAGACUGAGACGAUGGCUGGUGAACAUAAGACGACAAGACUGGGAGCCCAGCAAGUCAUCUCAUCUCUGUAGUCUUCAUUUUGAAGACCAUGAAUUCACCAUUGAUACCUAUGGGAAUCGUCUGACUUGCACUGCAGUACCAACUGUGUUAUCCCUUCCUGACCACCUGGUGAAGAGACCUGCUAGUAGAAAG